CUCGGGCAGCGACGACGUGCUGUGCGUGCCUUUUCAGUUGGUUGGUUGGUUAGAGUGUGUAUCUGCCUUGGCCGAUGUCGGUUUUCUGUGUCNUAUACCUGUCGUGAAGGUAUUUGAUGGCUUAAACGUCCCGUUUUCGUCUUGUACUGCGCCUUUAUCUGGCCGUAGCGUGGGGUGGACCAUGAAGAUCCGCUGUGUUCCUCAUCCCGUGCACUGUGAAUGUGCUUGGGAUGUUGGCCCAUGGCGACAUGCUCGAUAUCUUGGAUGCGGAAAAUCGNGUGGGUAUGUGGCCUCUCGUCCCUAUUUGCCCCUAAACAAGCGUUUCGCGCUUCGUGCGGACGANUGCUGCUCCCGUUUUGACCGAGCCUUYGUGGCUUGCCUCAUGCGGUGUCGGCGUCNGUGAAGAA
rnacentral:misc_RNA from 1 species